CCUCCCCUGUAGGAUUCAUACAAGGUUUAUGUGCUUGGCAACAUUCAGGGCACACCUGGAGUGUUGUGCUGGACCUGUGCACACACAGCUCCUCUCAAGGGCAUCAACCUUGGAAUCUCGCCCAGAUGUCGUGAAUCGUGGGAAGCCUCCCAGGACUGGGCUCAAGGCCCGAGAGCAAGGAAUGCGGUAGAUAGAAAGAAUGUUAAACAAAGCCAGUGUAUUCCUUUUAUCUGUUGGAGAACGUAAUGCGCGGGGGGAGAGAAAGAAUAAAGGGGGAAGGUGGAAAGCUGAUAGGCAGAAGCCUGUUAGCAGACCAGCCGCUUGCUUGCUAAAAGCUCUGUGCUGUCUUGUCAUUGAACCGCCACAACUGGCACCCAAACGUGGGGCCCUCAGCACUCACUCGCCCGGCAAGGGUUUCAGACGCAUCACUCAUCUGCUUCGCGGAUCCCGGGCUGGUGGACACUGGAGCUGACGUUACAGUGAUUUGUGAUCUGGAGUGGCCGGUCGGUUGGCCAACAGUUCCUUCUAAAGAGUUGUGGGGGAUUGGGGGUAGCAAACCCGGGCGCCAAAGUUUGUCUUGGGUCACGGUCUCCAAACCAGGAGGCCGUGCCCUUGCUACAAUCCAUCUUUUUGUACUCCCUGUCCACCUCAAUAUUUGGGGCCGUGACUUACUUGCAAAGCUGGACACCACCCUCGAUAUUAAUAUAGAAUGGCCCAAAAUCCUCCCUCACCCACCUUGCCAUCCACAUUACCAUUGGUAUGGCAAUCCUUAGAGCCCGUAUGGAUUGACCAGUGGCCCCUCCCCCUAGAAAAACUGAAAGCGCUUCAUUCACUUGUACAACAAUAUUUGCAUGCACAGCGCUUGGAGAGCUUCACUAGUCCUAGGAACUAGCUGCUGUUAUUUUGGCCUUUCAACUUUUUGCUGAUUGUCCCUUUAAUUUGAUUGUGGACACGCAUUAUGUUUAUCAGGUAAUUGAUCAUUUACCCCUUGCCCUUAAUACCCCUCAGGUCGAUGCGGACCUUCUUUGCCUGUUUUUGUCCUUACAGUAUCUCAUCACCACUCGUAAUUUCCCUUAUUUUGUUGCUCAGAUUCGCAGUCAUACCCCUCUGCCUGGACUGCUUACUGAGGGCAAUGCGCGUGCCGAUCGUGCGUUACGUGGUCAGGACCGUUGUGGGUUCCGGCCCGGUGUGUGCAACCGGCACUGAAACAGCAUGGCGUGGCACCAGGAGCUGUCGAACCCCAUACCGGAGUUUCAGCUGAUCUUGGAGGAGAACGCGGUGCCUCCCGGGUCGACAACGGCGGGACGGAAACGGAGGAGGAGUAGCGUCCCAAGCCAGCCCGUGACAUGGGAAGCAGUAAAAGCAUUGGUCGCCGUGGCUCAAUGAAGACUGGCAGCAAACCAACAGCCAGAGACUUCUGAGACUUUGUUUGUGGCAAUUCUCGCCCAAAUUACUGCUAAUUCUGUAUUGACAAUAUGCCUUUUGUGCCUGCUAUUUCCUGUAGGGGUUGGCUCGGGAGCGCUUUCUCCGUUACGGGCCCGAAUGACAUAUAACCUAUGGGAAAGAUUGGCUUCAAUAGCAAAUGUUACCCACUUUUGUUUAUCUGAUUUUGUAGCAGCUGAAGAAUUGUUAGGUAUGUGCCUUAUUCCAGUAUGUCAUCACCCUGAGGAAAUUGGAAAUGAGAUGAUGCUCGCUGCUUACGCGAACCUCUCUUCCCAGUACUUUAGCAUGGCUAAUUGGGGCCCGGCCAAUUACAUUUUACCUUCUUAAGCUUAUUUUUUGCUGUUGCUGUGUGCAAUGUAUUUCCUUUUUGUUAAGGCUUUGUUGAGAACCGCCCUGGCAGGCUCCACGAGUUAUGACCUUGUCUGUCUGGGAGUUAAUUGGCUUGCAAAAGCAAAUUGAUGGCUACCAUGAGAUGGCCGAGCACAAAUAAACAAAAAAGGAGGGGAUGUAGGAUUCAUACAAGGUUUAUGUGCUUGGCAACAUUCAGGGCACACCUGGAGUGUUGUGCUGGACCUGUGCACACACAGCUCCUUUCAAGGGCAUCAACCUUGGAAUCUCACCCAGAUGUCGUGAAUCGUGGGAAGCCUCCCAGGACUGGGCUCAAGGCCCAAGAGCAAGGAAUGCGGUAGAUAGAAAGAAUGUUAAACAAAGCCAGUGUAUUCCUUUUAUCUGUUGGAGAAUGUAAUGCGCAGGAGGAGAGAAAGAAUAAAGGGGAAGGUGGAAAGCUGACAGGCAGAAGCCUGUUAGCAGACCAGCCGCUUGCUUGCUAAAAGCUCUGUGCUGUCUUGUCAUUGA